AUUUUUUUACAACAAAUUACAAGUCGGACAUUUGUAGUUUCGUAUUGAUCUAAUGUAAAAAUUCUGGAAUUCUGCAAGAACUUGCGUAGCAUACAUAAGCCUGUAUGUAUAAACAAUGUUGCAAAUGUCUGGAAUGCGGUUUUAACCAAAAAGAAUUCAGACCCACUAGUUGUAAUAAAAGCCAACAUGCACAAAAAUAUUGGUUAACUUUUGGAGAGUGUACUGUCUGAGUCUUUUAACUUGUAUUUUUCUGUCAGAGAGGCAUACAUAUGGUACCACAGCAUUCUCUUUUAGUCCCUAUCAGAUUUUCUUCAGUGGCACGAUGGAAAAAAUAUCGCAAUAUUUUGCACCCACCAGUAUGGCUGAACUCCGUGUCCAGUUUAUUUUUGUGCAAUUUCCGGGUCGACUUCCUUUCCAGCGCAGCGUGAAGGAGGAGAAACCGACAAUAUGAGUAAGGUCUCCAGGGACACGUUAUACGAGGCUGUUUGGGAGGUCCAGCAGGCCUCUGGCUAAGCCCAGGAAGUUUGUGGAGACGGUGGAACUACAGAUCAGCCUGAAGAACUACGGUCCCCAGAAGGACAAGCUUUUCUCUGGUGCUGUGUUUGGCGGUGGGUCACAUAAAGAUGACAGAGGAGGAGCUGGUGUACAACAUCCACCUGGCCGUCAACUUCCUGGUCUCUCUGCUCAAGAAGAACUGGCAGAACGUACGUGCCCUCUACAUCAAGAGCACCAUGAGAAAACCCCAGCGUCUUCACUAGUCUUUAUUAUUCUCUGCUAGAGAAUCACACUGCCCUGUGAGUCAGGAUCACUAUGGGAAAACCCCAGCACCUCUCCUAGAGAGGCAAACUAGCCUGGUCCCAGAUCUGUUGGUGCUGUCUUGCCAACUCCUUUGGUUAUUGUUGUGCCUUGAACUAGCUGUCAAACUGCCUUCCUUUUUUCUAUGAAUAAACCUGCCAAGAUCCUCAAA